rnacentral:rRNA from 1 species
UAGCGUAGGGGGCAAGCGUUGUCCGGAAUCAUUGGGCGUAAAGCGCGUGUAGGCGGUUCGGUAAGUCUGUUGUGAAAGUCCGGGGCUCAACCCCGGAAAGCCGGCGGAUACUGUCGAACUAGAGUGCGGAAGAGGCGAGUGGAAUUCCUGGUGUAGCGGUGAAAUGCGCAGAUAUCAGGAGGAACACCGAUGGCGAAGGCAGCUCGCUGGGACGGUACUGACGCUGAGGUGCGAAAGCGUGGGGAGCAAACAGG